rnacentral:rRNA from 1 species
GAAUGCUGACAUAAGUAACGAUAAAGCGGGUGAAAAGCCCGCUCGCCGGAAGACCAAGGGUUCCUGUCCAACGUUAAUCGGGGCAGGGUGAGUCGACCCCUAAGGCGAGGCCGAAAGGCGUAGUCGAUGGGAAACAGGUUAAUAUUCCUGUACUUGGUGUUACUGCGAAGGGGGGACGGAGAAGGCUAUGUUGGCCGGGCGACGGUUGUCCCGGUUUAAGCGUGUAGGCUGGUUUUCCAGGCAAAUCCGGAAAAUCAAGGCUGAGGCGUGAUGACGAGGCACUACGGUGCUGAAGCGACAAAUGCCCUGCUUCCAGGAAAAGCCUCUAAGCAUCAGGUAACAUCAAAUCGUACCCCAAACCGACACAGGUGGUCAGGUAGAGAAUACCAAGGCGCUUGAGAGAACUCGGGUGAAGGAACUAGGCAAAAUGGUGCCGUAACUUCGGGAGAAGGCACGCUGAUAUGUAGGUGAAGCGACUUGCUCGUGGAGCUGAAAUCAGUCGAAGAUACCAGCUGG